AAUGAGAUUGCUGGGUCAUAUGGUAAGUAUGUGUUUAACAUUAUAGGAAACUUCCAAACUUUUUUCCAAAGUGACUGUACCAUUUGACAUUCCCACCAGCAGU
rnacentral:pre_miRNA from 1 species